rnacentral:rRNA from 1 species
AUUGAACGCUGGCGGCAUGCCUUACACAUGCAAGUCGAACGGCAGCACGGGAGCAAUCCUGGUGGCGAGUGGCGAACGGGUGAGUAAUAUAUCGGAACGUGCCCAGUCGUGGGGAUAACGUAGCGAAAGCUACGCUAAUACCGCAUACGAUCUAUGGAUGAAAGCGGGGGAUCGCAAGACCUCGCGCGAUUGGAGCGGCCGAUAUCAGAUUAGGUAGUUGGUGAGGUAAAGGCUCACCAAGCCGACGAUCUGUAGCUGGUCUGAGAGGACGACCAGCCACACUGGGACUGAGACACGGCCCAGACUCCUACGGGAGGCAGCAGUGGGGAAUUUUUGGACAAUGGGCGCAAGCCUGAUCCAGCAAUGCCGCGUGCAGGAUGAAGGCCCUCGGGUUGUAAACUGCUUUUGUACGGAACGAAAGGUUUCUAUUAAUACUAGGAGCUCAUGACGGUACCGUAAGAAUAAGCACCGGCUAACUACGU